CCUACGGGUGGCAGCCGUGAGGAAUAUUGGUCAAUGGGCUUACGCCUGAACCAGCCAAGUCGCGUGAGGGAAGACUGCCCUAUGGGUUGUAAACCUCUUUUGUCAGGGAGCAACGCCUGCUACGUAUAGCCGGACUGAGAGUAGCUGAAGAAAAAGCAUCGGCUAACUCCGUGCCAGCAGCCGCGGUAAUACGGCGGAGGCGAGCGUUAUCCGGAUUUAUUGGGUUUAAAUGGUGCGUAGGCGGAAUGCCAAGUCAGCGGUAAAAUCGCGGGGCUCAACCUCGCUCCGCCGUUGAAACUGGCGUGCUUGAGUGGGCGAGAGGUAUGCGGAAUGCGAGGUGUAGCGGUGAAAUGCGUAGAUAUCACGAAGAAGUCCGAUUGCGAAGGCGGCAUACCGGCG
rnacentral:rRNA from 1 species